AAUAGAGAUUUCUCAAAAAAAAGGGACAUACAAAUGGCAAACAGCCAUAAGAAAAGGUGCUCCACAUCAUUGAUCAUAAGAGAAAUGCAAAUCAAAACUACCAUGAAAUAUUAUCUUGGUUAAAAAGGCUUUUAUAAAAAAGACAGGCAAUAACAAAUGCUGGUGAGGAUGUGAAGAAAAGGGAAUCUUUGUACACUGUUGGUGGGAAUGUAAAUUAAUACAAUCACUAUAGAGAAUAGUUCGGAGGUUCAUCAAAAAACUAAAAAUAGAACUACCAUAUGUUCCAGCAAUACCACUGCUAGGUAUACACCCAAAGGAAAGGAAAUCAGUAUAUCGAAAAGACAUCUGCGUUCCCACGUUUACUGCAGCACUAUUAACAAUAGCCAAGAUUUGUAAGUGAUCUAAAUGUCCAUAUAAAAAGUAAUGAGAUGCUGUCAUUUGCAACAA
rnacentral:lncRNA from 1 species